rnacentral:lncRNA from 1 species
GUUUACCUUGAUUUUAUAUAUAUGAAUGGGUUAAUGUAACCACCAAUCCCAAUAACAUAUAGAAAACCAUAGAAAAGUCCUUAACCUUUCCUUCUUGCCUAAUAGAAAAACCCAUUUCUGGGUGAAAAUAUCGAUAAAACAGUGAAAUAAUGAAAUAGAAAAUGUCCGUUCUCUGCCUUUAGUAGAUGCUCCAGGCCAGGUAAGCAAAUCAAUAACCUUUUCUUCUCCACCUCAGGCCAGUCCCCCUUGCCCAGAAGCAGCAGCAUCAAUGACAAACUUUCCUUAUAUGCCUCUGGUGAGUAUUCCCUACAAGCAACCAGCAGCACCAUUGGUGAUCUUUCCAUCUCUACCUCCAUGGAGCACAGUGAAGAAGCAGUCAGUAGCAGCACUAGCAAACUCCCCAUUUCAUCCUCUGAAGCUAAUCUCGCUAGUCGACCUUCAAUUAAUGGAAAAGUUUUUACAAUAACUUCACUCUCCUCAGUGGUCUCUCAACAGGGCUUUGAUGAGAUUGCUAAUAAUGUCACAGAUGAGAAAAGAAAAUCUCUUCAGGUAUGAAAUGAUUGCACUUACUG